rnacentral:lncRNA from 1 species
GUAUUGCUGGUUCUCUCGAUUACGGCUGUGAUUGGAUGGCUUUUUUUUAUCCGCCACAUCUGCUGAUGGAUACCCGUUCUUCCAGAUUUAUACGCUGUGAUAGCAUUGUGCUAUGAUUAGUUUGUGUUGACUGAAAAUCUUUGUUGUUUUAGCUUUGAAGCACGGCCAGGCAUGAGGGGAGAUCGCAUCAACGAUCAUGUGAACAUUAGCUCUGAUGAGCGCGGACAGCAACUCUGAUGAAGCUCUGGACACGAGCUCUGAUGAAGAUCUGGACACGAGCUCGGAUGAACCGUGUGUACACCAGCUCUGAUGAUGGCGUGAAAACGAGCUCUGAUGAAGGUAUUUUUAGUAGUGCUAAACAUCAGACAUUUGACCUAAUAAAAUGUGGCCAUGAUCUGUAUUUUAAUUAUUUGCACUUAUGGGCCAUUUGUUUGUUGAACUAUUAAGGCAUGUACUACCGUAUGAAGAAAAAGAAGCUUCAGAAGACAUGCAAGGAUGUGUGUGACUGCCCUAGGGAGUAUUCAGUUGGUAAGGACUAAUGCUAGAUAAUCCAGAGUGUUUCUUUCUAUAGAUAGGAAAUUAAUUAUUUUACUUUUGUUCUUAGGAUAUGAUCCUAAUUCUGAAGCCGACUGGAUGUAUUCAAAGAAAUUUAUGAUGUCAAUGUGUGCUCGAAAGCGUCUUAGUUGCUAUGUCCGUUCUGUUAAGCCUGCUAUUAGGCACUAUGUGUGUGACAUGAACAAGACUUUUACCAAAGCUGGGCAGAGAAUGGUUAGAAGGGAAUUUAUUUGCCUAUAUGCGUAUUUGCCUACUCUAUCAAUCAUAGUGUCUAACUAUAAGUCUGUUGAAUGCUUGUAGUACUUUUCUACUUUGUUCACUGAGAAGCACCUGAUGAAGUUUCUCUCCACUCUCGUCGAUCGAAUACGGAUUAAGCUUUCAUCUAGGUGUUGUUUAUCCUAUGUUCGACUGAUGAAAGGGGUUGACAACAGGGCUGCUAUAACACAUAACUAUAGCCGCUUUGUGGAAAAAGCAAAGUUGACAAAAGGGGGAAGUCGCAGGUGCAGAUGCAAAAAUAGAGUAGGUCUUCAAACCUGCAAAAUAAACCCAGACAGAGCCAUAAGAACAUAAGCAUAGCAAUGUAGGCACAGGAACCAGCAGAACACACAUAAAACAAAGGCCAUUCAACAGAUGCAGAGGAACAGAACCAUUUAGAUCUCAUCAUAUCAGGCCACCAUACAUUAUGUCUAAAGCAUCUUUCUCAUGAAUAUUCACAAAAGCCUUUAGCUUGCUAGUGCUAUGACCCUCUUCUCUCAUGUAGAAACUUAAGAAGAUGCCUAUGAAUCAACCUCAUAUACUAUGUGCUCUCAGCCAAAAUAAUAGACACAAGCAGCAUAAAGCCUCUAACCACCCCAACCGCAGCAGCAUGAUUGUAAGACAAUCUAGAAGAGAGAAUAUAACACACCAUACCAACAUCAUCAUCAACACAUAGACUCACAGCACAUGCAUAUCUCUGCACCGACGAAAGAAAGAAGGCAAGGAGCAGCACAUUACCAGGAUUAAGAACAAUAACCAGGACAGCGGCGAGCAAACGAAGGCGGAAUGUCAGACAAACAAUCUGAGAAGAAACAUAGUCAGGUCACCGCAGAGGCAUUCUGCCGAACACGUCGCAUGCAGGCAAACGGAAGGAAGACCAACCUAAAUGCAUAUGGCAAAAUGGCGCGCCGGCCAGCGCAGGAGACAGCACAGAGAGGAUUUCAGCUACACAUGUAGCAUAGAAAAGGAAGAGCACCAAGGUAAGCAAGGUGCAAUGUGGAAAACGAACACGAUCAGAAGGAAGCAGAGCAUUGACCUCAACCAGCAGCACCGACCGCACGCAGGGACGCCAUCACAACGGGCAUGCACACGGACGGAGAAGAACAACAGGCAGACACAUCGAGUCGGAGAGAAAGCAAAACCUGGUGUGGUGAAGCAAGUGAAUGACGGACAGUGAGAAUGGAGAGCGGGAGAGAGAAAAGGAGCAAGGAAGGAAAGAUGUUUAAGGAAGAAAGGGGCGUGCGCGGCCUCUCCGCAGCAGAGGCAACAGCCAGCGCAUGGGAACAGACCCACCACCGCGGUGAAGACAUGCGUCCCAGGCGUCGUACUCUGGCCCACCGUCAUACAAAUACCAGGGCAGCGGGUGAAAGCGGAUCGCGCAAGAGGAAAAUGCGCAGGCUCAGUGCGCACGUCGCGGAGGC